rnacentral:rRNA from 1 species
CGACCGGCGCACGGGUGAGUAACGCGUAUGCGACCUGCCCGUUGCGGGGGGAUAAUCGGGAGAAAUCCCGUCUAAUACCGCGUAACGCCGCGGGGCUGCAUGGCCCUGCGGCCAAAGGGAGCGAUUCCGGCAACGGAUGGGCAUGCGUGACAUUAGCUAGUUGGCGGGGCAACGGCCCACCAAGGCGACGAUGUCUAGGGGUUCUGAGAGGAAGGUCCCCCACACUGGUACUGAGACACGGACCAGACUCCUACGGAAGGCAGCAG